rnacentral:misc_RNA from 1 species
CUGUGCUGGGAGGUGCCGUCAUAACUCUGAGAGUGUGGUAAGUGUUACUUUUUGUUUUUGUUGUGUUCUCUUGUAGAAUUUAUGGAAACAUUGGAAUGAUGUCUAUUGGAGGUGAUUGGAGUAUAAUGUCAAGAAUGUUAGCAUUAUGUUGGGGGGUAGCCAGAUGGGAAAAGGGCAUGAUCUAUGUUGUGGAGAUGAACCUUUUUAGCUUACUUAGUCAGGGAUACUUUGCAAUUUUGAUAAAUAUGCAACAGAAGACAGGCAUUUGGUCAUGGAAAGUGGAAGAACUCAUUAGAAAAUCAAAAUUCAAGACUUUCAGGAUCUUCCAAGAUUUAGAGGUUUCUCAAAGUGUUUCCUUUCUUCAGCAGAGAUAAAAAUUGAUUUAGAGGAAGAAUUUCUUUGAUACAUGGUUCUAUAUCUACAGCAAAGCUGAUGGGAAGGCUCUUAUUCCAAUCACCUUUUUAAAUUGCUUGUUAGAUGGGAUUGCUGUAAUACUUUUCCUAUGUCUUACCUUUUCUGGAGUGUAUGGAGUUUUUCCAUCAUGUUGGAUUGGCAUUAUGAGGCAUGCAAGGUGCAGGAAUGCUAUUCUACGGAAAGCAACUCCUCUGUGCAUGUCAUGAUAAAUCUUGCUUGUAGGCAAUGAAAGGAUUUUUGAGGAGAUGAGGACCUUGGUGUAAAAUUUGAAGAUUGAUACUUUGAUCACUAAUUGCUUGGAUGACUACCUUUCCUUGCAUUGUAUUUCCUACUUCUUUUGUGGAUUCCUUGGAAUCCUUGCACUUUGGUGUCUAAUUUGUUGUCUUAUUGUGUUCACCCUUUAUUAAUUUUAUUUAUUUCCUCUUGAUUGUAUAGAUGGACAGGCAUUUCCCUAUUCUUUUUUUUUUUCAACUGUGUUAUUGUAUAUUGGAAAGAGGAUUCUAUAAUAAUUAAGUCCAUGAGGAAGUUGAAAAUGUUGUCAAUGUGACAAGAUAUGCAAGAUCAUUAGUUAGUGUUAAACCCUUUAAGCAGUUUCCACUAGUGAAAGUAAGGAACUGGAAGAGGUCUCCUAGAUGAGCACAAUGAAGGUUUAGGAAGGAGAAUUCCUCUCUUGGAUGCUGCAGAAGGCAGAAUGUGAAUUUGACAAGUGCAACUCUUCUCAACUCUAUCUUACUGGAUAGUUUUCCUUGUUGAAUUUAUGAGUAUUUAUUUCUUUGGUAUUUUAUUUGAUUUCACUUUGUUCAGCACUCUCAAGGAAGAAAUGUUGUGAUAUCACCUUUAUCCUUUGUGAUUUAUGUGUUCUUUUGAAAUUCCCUAAUAAGUGAAUUUCCUUACUUGUUCAUUGAUUAAUUCUAUAAGAUAAUGGUUGCAAAGAUUAUAUGAGCCUUGACAAUAAUGAUGGCAAUGAUGAUAAUCAUAAUUGAUACUAGUUAUGAAAAAUCAUCAAAUUCAAACAUGUUAAGAAUAAUUCUAAGCUUAAGAUGCAUAUACAUCCUCCAUAGAUUUGCCUUUACAAGAAUGCUAGCGUUAAAAGAAAUCUUAUGACGGAUUUUUAUUUGAUUGCAAAUCAUCCCAGUUUGUUAAGAUCUGCUAGAUGUGAAAUUGCACCUGAAAUAAGUGUGAAUUUUGCAGGUUCAUGAGAAUGCGUAUCUUAGUGAUUUCCAUCAUUGC